UAUGUGUUGUAUAAAAUUAUUUAUUUCCAGUGACAUUGAUAUCAAACAACAACAACUGAGGCAACAUGUUUGAGGCAUAUUAAUAACAGAGGAAUGAUGUACAAUACACUAUGUACCUGGAAAGAGACCCAGAAACAUCGUAAUUACCGGUUAUCUCCUCCAACUCGUCGUUUUCCAUACACACACGCCAUGUUUUUCUCUGUUCUAACUGCAGCGGUGUCUUCAGCCCAGAGAUCUCUUCUCUGAGGAGGGUCCAGAGGCUAUCACCAAUCUGAGGAACCGCAUAUCCUUUGGUCCCAUGUUGAAAGGAGCAGAGAAUUCUUCUCUCCCAGGGGAGAUGGACACAGCAGCUGAGAUGGAGAUUAUGCUUGUCAUACUGGGGAUGGUGGUGGGGUGUUCGCUGAUAACGGGGACACUGCUGCUUCUCUGGAUGGCCUAUAGACGGCGGCGGGUCGAUUGGAUGGUUUACUCAGAGUCCAGAGCGUGCUGYGGCUGCCUGCGUAGAGGAGACAUGAUCUUACCAUAGCCAAGUMGGAGACAAUGGUCAAUCACGUCAGCCUGCAGACCAGACCAGACCCUGGCCAGAAUCAAUCCAAUUCACUCCUAUCGUACGUGACACCCGGGCMGAGCUUCUGUGGUCCCAUAUCUCACUCCCUUCACCGACGCAGUGAAUGUCUUACCUUUACACUGUAGUAAUAUGACACAGAAACACAUGUACAGAAUAGAUUAUCUUGGUCAAUUCUUUUGCAUGGCAACAAUUGCUAAUUCACCAAACAACUGUGCACAGUGAUUCAAGGUGAAUUGAUGAUCAAGAAUGUUUUAUGAUCAUGUGAAUUUAAACACGAUGUGCGUAUUGUGUAAACACCAUAUUGUUAUUGCUAGUCUCUUGUACUAAGUCCUCUAACCCUGCUACUAUCUGGAAGUAAUUGUUUGUUUCAAAAAGUGUAUUAUCCUCUCAAUGAUUCUCAAUCAUCAUCUCAAGCACGACGCAUAUUAUCAUACCAGUUCUGGCCAAUUGCUUUUAAAAACAAUACAGACCACUGGCUACUCUCACUAAGACACAAAUUACACCAACAAUUCGUUAACCUCACUGUCUGCACUACUUCAUCAUGCACCACAUUACCUAAAAUGCUACAACAAUUUGUUCCUGAUUUGCCACAAGCUCAAAUGAUUAAACAACUUUCACAAUGCUCA